rnacentral:rRNA from 1 species
AUUGAACGCUGGCGGCAUGCUUUACACAUGCAAGUCGAACGGCAGCACGGGGGCAACCCUGGUGGCGAGUGGCGAACGGGUGAGUAAUAUAUCGGAACGUACCCGGAAAUGGGGGAUAACGUAGCGAAAGUUACGCUAAUACCGCAUAUGCCCUAAGGGGGAAAGCGGGGGAUUCGCAAGAACCUCGCGUUUUCGGAGCGGCCGAUAUCGGAUUAGCUAGUAGGUGAGGUAAAGGCUCACCUAGGCGACGAUCCGUAGCUGGUCUGAGAGGACGACCAGCCACACUGGAACUGAGACACGGUCCAGACUCCUACGGGAGGCAGCAGUGGGGAAUUUUGGACAAUGGGCGCAAGCCUGA